rnacentral:rRNA from 1 species
CCUACGGGUGGCAGCAGUGGGGAAUAUUGGGCAAUGGGCGCACGCCUGACCCAGCAACGCCGCGUGAAGGAAGAAUGCUCUCUGGUUGUAAACUUCUUUUAGCCGGGACGAAGCGCGUGACGGUACCUGAUGAAUAAGCCAUGGCUAACUACGUGCCAGCAGCCGCGGCAAUGCCGAGGUGGCAAGCGUUAUCCGGAUUUAAUGGGUGUAAAGGGGGUGUAGGCGGGAAAGCAAGUCAGAUGUGAAAACCGUGGGCUCAACCUGUGGCCUGCAUUUGAAACUGUUUUUCUUGAGUGCUUGAGAGGCAGACGGAAUGCGUGGUGUAGCGGUGAAAUGCGUAGAUAUUAGGAGGAACACCAGUGGCGAAGGCGGUCUGCUGGACAGCAACUGACGCUGAGGCGCGAAAGCGUGGGGAGCAAACAGGAUUAGAUACCCCGGUAGUC